rnacentral:rRNA from 1 species
UACGUAGGGUGCAAGCGUUGUCCGGAAUUAUUGGGCGUAAAGAGCUCGUAGGCGGCCAGUUGCGUCCGCUGUGAAAUCCUGGGGCUUAACCCCGGGCGUGCAGUGGAUACGGGCUGGCUAGAGGCAGGCAGGGGAGAACGGAAUUCCCGGUGUAGCGGUGAAAUGCGCAGAUAUCGGGAGGAACACCGGUGGCGAAGGCGGUUCUCUGGGCCUGUACUGACGCUGAGGAGCGAAAGCGUGGGGAGCGAACAGG